rnacentral:tRNA from 1 species
GCCUUUGUGGUGUAACGGUUAGCACACUCAACGUCUAUUCCAGAGGUCCAGGUUCGAGUCCCAGCGAAAGCA